rnacentral:rRNA from 1 species
CAGGAUGAACGCUAGCGACAGGCUAACACAUGACAAGUCGAGGGGCAGCAUAAAAGUAGCAAUACGUUUGGUGGCGACCGGCGCACGGGUGAGUAACGCGUAUGCAACCUACCUAUCGAGAGGGGAAUAACCCGGCGAAAGUCGGACUAAUACCGCAUAAAACAGGGGCACCGCAUGGUGAUAUUUGUUAAAGAAAUUCGCUGAUAGAUGGGCAUGCGUUCCAUUAGGUAGUUGGUGAGGUAACGGCUCACCAAGCCGACGAUGGAUAGGGGAACUGAGAGGUUGGUCCCCCACACUGGUACUGAGACACGGACCAGGCUCCUACGGGAGGCAGCAGUGGGGAAUAUUGGUCAAUGGGCGGGAGCCUGAACCAGCCAAGUCGCGUGAAGGAAGAAGGAUCUAUGGUUCGUAAACUUCUUUUGCAGGGGAAUAAAGUGCAGGACGUGUCCUGUUUUGUAUGUACCCUGAGAAUAAGGAUCGGCUAACUCCGUGCCAGCCGCGGC